ensembl:lncRNA
CCAGCCCAGGGCUCAGGAAGUGACUCUUGCUUUGGUUCUGCCUGGGGUGCCUGUCACACUUUCCGAUGGUUGAUCAGCUCUGCCGGAAACAUGGAGGGCCUGGCCUUCAAUGGGUCUGGGGGCAGCUCUGCUCCCACCCCAGGGAGGGUCUUUGGGCACUGAGAGAAGAAUCUGAAGAGGCCAGGUGCCGGCAAACAGCUCCGCAAAGAGAUGCUGAAGGUAGAAGGCUGGUGUUUUUUUGGGAGAGGAAGAAUGCUGCAGAGAUGUCAUUUGUACAUUCCAGAAAAAUGUGCUGAAUUAUUAGAGUGUUCCAGGCCCCGUACUAGAUGCUGGGGAAACAGUGGUGAACCAGGUAGGCCCAUCGCCUAUGCCCGGGCUUUCAGUCUAGUGGGGACACAUGGGCACUGAUGAAACAGGGUGAUAUGUGCUGUCAGGGAAGAGAACACGAAGAGAAGGCCACGGGGCCCUGGACCAGGUGCAGUGUCACAUCUAAGCUGAGACUUGAAGAACAUGCAAGACAUUACCAAGUGAAGGAGGAGACAAAGAGCACGUGAGCAGAGGGCACUGCGUGUUCAACAAUUUGGGUGGGCCUGGUUUCCCCGAAGGAGGGUGCUGGCCCCCCGGGAAGCCCACCAGGUGGGCUCAAGAGGGCUAAGAGCUUCCAUUUUCUCCUCUUCUUCCAGGGAGAAGAAAGCCAGAAGAGAAUGCCAGGGCCAGAAGUCUGGGAGCACAUGAGUCCCUUCUGCUCAGGCUCUAAAAUAGUUGAAGCAGGGGGAGGAGGGAAGCCCCAGGUCUCCUUCUGAGUUGCCACUUAGAAAGCUGGACCCGGCAGGUCCAAGAUGGACAUGGAACAGAGGAAAUGGGAUCUCACUUGCAUCAGAGGAGACAAAGGAAUCAAGAAGGGUCGCUGCUUGGUUUAGCUUACCCCAUCCUCCCCCUGGAGGCUGUCUGAGUUGUCUCUGGGGAACCCGUCCUCUUCUCACCUAAUGGCAAUGAAUCAUGAUCUGGUGGAGAUGGGGACAGGUCGAAAUCUUGGCAAAGAAAAGAGGAAUAAAGGAGCUCUAUGGGGGCCAUGCAUUUCUCUGUCAACUCUCAAGUUCCCCAAUGACAGGCACGGCUAAGGGAUGCUGGUGUAAAACUUGCCAUUAAUAUUUCAGGCAGCAUUAUUUAUUGAUUACUCAUCUGGCUGAGACAAAAGAAGAGGGUAAUUCAUUAGGUGUGCAGGGCUGGUGGGGUCAGUUUGGGAAAGAGGUCAGGCAAAGGUAAGUCAUUCAGGAGUCAGCCCUGGCUGCUGGAAAAAAUACCCUGGGGUUCCAGGGUCUGAAGAUUAGGGUCUUUGUCUCCUUUUUCAGCUCUACAGUACCCAUGAUGAAAAUAAGAGAAGGAGCAGGGGACGGGGAAACCUAGGGGCAGCCCUGGGACUACCAUUGUGGCCAUAAGGGAGUCAGCUCCAGGGAACCCCGCAUCUAGCACCACAGGGGUCAGACCCUGUGUGGAGGUCUAGAAGACAAUGUUUCCAUGGCAACGGACCAGUGAACUUGGAAAUCUGAGCAUCAUCUGUUGACACAGGGAAACCCAGAUGUGCAGGGAGAGCCUGGAGAUGUGGAAUCUGACAGUCACCUCCUUGGCCACUGGUCACUGUGGAUAGAAAUGUGUAAUCUGAGUGUGAGUUGGGUGAGUGUGUGUGUGUGUGUGUAUGUGUGAAAUGCAGCAAAUGGGAUUUAGGUUAGAGAGGCCUAACCUGCUUUCCUGGCCAUAUGGUAGCUGCUAGCAGGAGAUGCAAGCAACUUACUCUCUGGAGAUCUUUCUAGAACAAGGGAGUCUCUCACCUGAUUUCUACUCUGA